rnacentral:lncRNA from 1 species
AUCUCUCUGAAGCUGCGAAAAAUCGAUCUGAUCUUACCCGAGUAGAUCCGUCCGAUCUGUCCGACCACCGAUCUGCCCGCAACCCGAUGAAACCGUACAUGAAAUCGGUCGGAGAUGGGUGUAGUUUUUCCUUCGAUGGUUAUCGUCGGUUUUGAUUUUUCCGACCCGAAUCCGACCAUACCCGCCUGAUGCCCACCCC